rnacentral:rRNA from 1 species
CAAUAGCGUAUAUUUAAGUUGUUGCAGUUAAAAAGCUCGUAGUUGGAUUUCGGUUGAGAACGGCCGGUCCGCCGUUUGGUGUGCACUGGCUGGUCUCAACUUCCUGUAGAGGACGCGCUCUGGGUUAACGCUCGGACGCGGAGUCUACGUGGUUACUUUGAAAAAUUAGAGUGUUCAAAGCGGGCUUACGCUUGAAUAUUUCAGCAUGGAAUAACACUAUAGGACUCCUGUCCUAUUUCGUUGGUCUCGGGACGGGAGUAAUGAUUAAGAGGAACAGUUGGGGCGAUUAGUAUUUAAUUGUCAGAGGUGGAAUUCUCGGAUUUGUUUAAAGAACUAACUUAUGCGAAAGACAUUUGUUCAAGGAGUGUUUUCUAUUAAUUCAAGAACGAAAGUUAAGGGGUAGUCAAAGAACGAUCAGAUACCGU